rnacentral:lncRNA from 1 species
GAGAAGAUUGUUUUACACAGGCGCUCCACCCAUACUGGCAGAGAAACAGGGCUUAUUGGCACAGGGAAGGACUAGUUGGUGGUCAGCUCUCCUUGGAGCAAGUCUGACUGAAAAGGCUGGAAGCACUUGCGGAGUUCCUGAAAUACAUUGGUUUGGACCUUCAAAAUGGAGAUGGUGUCCAGUUUGCUUAGCAGCACUGAUACUUGUCACUCAGGAACAUUAACAGGGAUCAUGGUCUUUAAAUUCAGCAGAUGAAAAUCUCUUUCCUCCAGAAAAUACAC